rnacentral:rRNA from 1 species
ACCGGGGGCGACAGCAAUAUGAAGGUCAGGCUGAAGACCUUACCCGAUUAGCUGAGAGGUGGUGCAUGGCCGUCGUCAGUUCGUACUGUGAAGCAUCCUGUUAAGUCAGGCAACGAGCGAGACCCACGUCCACAGUUGCCAGCAUACCCUCCGGGGUGAUGGGUACACUGUGGAGACCGCCGCUGCUAAAGCGGAGGAAGGAGUGGGCAACGGUAGGUCAGUAUGCCCCGAAUCUCCCGGGCUACACGCGGGCUACAAUGGUUGGUACAAUGGGCAUCUACCCCGAAAGGGGAAGGAAAUCUCUUAAAGCCAAUCGUAGUUCGGAUUGAGGGCUGCAACUCGCCCUCAUGAAGCUGGAAUCCGUAGUAAUCGCGUUUCAACAGAACGCGGUGAAUACGUCCCUGCUCCUU